AUUGUACGCUGGCGGCAGGCCUAACACAUGCAAGUCGAGCGGCAGCGGGAAAGUAGCUUGCUACUUUUGCCGGCGAGCGGCGGACGGGUGAGUAAUGCCUGGGAAAUUGCCCAGUCGAGGGGGAUAACAGUUGGAAACGACUGCUAAUACCGCAUACGCCCUACGGGGGAAAGCAGGGGACCUUCGGGCCUUGCGCGAUUGGAUAUGCCCAGGUGGGAUUAGCUAGUUGGUGAGGUAAUGGCUCACCAAGGCGACGAUCCCUAGCUGGUCUGAGAGGAUGAUCAGCCACACUGGAACUGAGACACGGUCCAGACUCCUACGGGAGGCAGCAGUGGGGAAUAUUGCACAAUGGGGGAAACCCUGAUGCAGCCAUGCCGCGUGUGUGAAGAAGGCCUUCGGGUUGUAAAGCACUUUCAGCGAGGAGGAAAGGUUGAUGCCUAAUACGUAUCAACUGUGACGUUACUCGCAGAAGAAGCACCGGCUAACUCCGUGCCAGCAGCCGCCGUAA
rnacentral:rRNA from 1 species